rnacentral:tRNA from 1 species
CGGGGUGUAGCGCAGCUUGGUAGCGCGGCGGUUUUGGGUACCGCAGGUCGCAGGUUCGAACCCUGCCACCCCGACCA